rnacentral:rRNA from 1 species
GACGAACGCUGGCGGCGUGCUUAACACAUGCAAGUCGAACGAUGAAGUUCUGUCCUUGCACUCGGAGGAUCAGUGGCGAACGGGUCGGUAAUACGUGCGUCACCUGCCCUUGACUCUGGGAUAAGCAUGGGCAACUGGUUCUAAUACUGCAUACGACAUGUCACCGUAUGGUGGUGUGUGGAACGGGCGUUACUGGUUUUGGAUGGGCUCACGUCCUAUCAGCUUGUUGGUGGGGGCAUGGCUAACCAAGGCGACGACGGCUAGCCGGCCUGAUAGGGUGACCGGCCAGACAGAGACUGAGAGAGGGCCCGGACUCCUACGGGAGGCAAGAGGGGGGAAGGUAGCACAAUGGGCGAAGGCCUGAUGCAGCGACGCCGCGUGAGGGAGGACGGCCUUCGGGUGGUAAACAACGUUCAGCACGGAGGAAGCGAAAGGGACGGUACGUGCAGAAGAAGCGCCGGCUGACUACGU